AUCUUUGGUUAUCUAGCUGUAUGAGUUUAUUGGUUUCAUAAAGCUAGAUAACCGAAAGU
rfam:Xenopus laevis strain J chromosome 1L, whole genome shotgun sequence.